AAGGCCCUGCCGAGUGCGUGGAACUGCGAUGAUUUAGAGCCAACACAGAUUCUGAGGGAGCCGAUCUCCGGCAGCAGCGCGAAUGCCGCUCAGCGGACUCGUAAAGCGACGGGUAAGCACCCACCUGCGAGCGCAGGUUCUAGAUCGUCGAGGGUCACGACCCGGUGGGGACUUU
rnacentral:other from 1 species